GAGUUCUUCGUAAAGGUGCUGUGCGAGCACAAGCAAGGAGGGUUCGCGAGGCUGAUGGAGGCGAUGAGCUCCCUGGGACUGGAAGUGACCAACGCCAGUGUCACCUCAUACGAAAGCCUAGUCUUGAACGUCUUCAGAGUCGAGAGAAGAGAUGCCCAAGUGGUGGAAGCGGAUCGAGUGAGGGACUCAUUGCUGGAGGUGACGCGAGAUCCGCAAGGGUGGUCAGGGCUUGCACAAGCAGUGGAGCAGCAGCAGCAGCUCGGCUUCCAUCAUCACCUUCGUUACCUUCACCACCAAGCAUAGCUCGGCAACACAGCGGUGUGCUAUACUCCACAAUAAUUAUGGUUUCAGCUCAUCUACCAUGUUAUUAAUCCUCGUAUGCUCUCGAUAAAUAAGAUCGACCCAUAAAACGUGUUCUCUGUGGACGGUGAUCGAAAGAUUCUUGUAUGGCGGUACAAAGAUUCGUUGACGGGUUGGAACAUUGGAAGUUAUGGAGCAGCUUUUGGUGUGUGGAUGGUGGGGUGUCUUUUAGGCCAUCAUAUCUUCUUUGAUUUGGUUACAGAUUAGGAAGAAUCUUUGGUGAUGUAGAAGUCAGUGCAUGCAUGUUAAAGUGAUAUAUGAAUGAGUUACUGUGAUUUUUCUUGGGAAGAUUGCCCCCUGUUUUCCUAAAACUUGGAUUAGUAUGUCCAUCAUCAUGUGAUGUGAGACUCAAAAUGCCCUCUCCGAGGACCAUUAAUAUGGGUUUCCAUA